rnacentral:rRNA from 1 species
CGCCAGACUCCUACGGGAGGCAGCAGUGGGGGAUAUUGCACAAUGGGGGGAACCCUGAUGCAGCGACGCCGCGUGGGUGAAGAAGCGCCUCGGCGCGUAAAGCCCUGUCAGCAGGGAAGAAAAUGACGGUACCUGAAGAAGAAGCCCCGGCUAACUACGUGCCAGCAGCCGCGGUAAUACGUAGGGGGCAAGCGUUAUCCGGAUUUACUGGGUGUAAAGGGAGCGUAGGUGGCAUGGUAAGCCAGAAGUGAAAACCCGGGGCUCAACCCCGCGGAUUGCUUUUGGAACUAUCAGGCUGGAGUGCUGGAGGGGUAAGCGGAAUUCCUAGUGUAGCGGUGAAAUGCGUAGAUAUUAGGAGGAACACCGGUGGCGAAGGCGGCUUACUGGACAGAAACUGACACUGAGGCUCGAAAGCGUGGGGAGCAAACAGGAUUAGAUACCCGGGUA